GUAGAGCACCGCAUCUCGGAAUUUCCGCAGACGGUCAUGAACAUCCUGGACUCGGGCGGGAUCAUGCAGCUUCUGAAAAAGCGCGCCGAUGCCGAGCUCUCAUCCUGAGUUUCCUAUUCUCUCCGCGCGCACGUAACGUGGUAAUUGGCCCCAUGCACAUUCCGGUGAUCGACCGUAUCGAGGUCACACCGUUCCAGAUUCCGUUCGCGACCUUCCUGCGUUCGGGUCAGCAGAU
rnacentral:misc_RNA from 1 species